rnacentral:lncRNA from 1 species
UGAAAUUGAGAUGUUCAUAGAUGUACUACGGCAAUAAUCAUACAAACUUCAAAAUGAUAUGUACUAAUGCAAUAAUCAGACAACUUCAAAAUAGAGAAACUUUAAAACAGGCAAGCUGUGUCUUUCCGAGAAGAGUUCGGCUUUAUUUGCUGGUAUAUGGCACUCAAUUUUGUUCCAACAAAACUGAAAUGACAGGCCCCUGUACAUUAUUUUGCUAAAAGAUAUUAUCACAAAGAACACUUCACAAAUCUGCAAUUGCUACAAAACAAAUGAUCUUUAAUUACAAGUUGUAAUUGAUUGAAAGGAUUACACAUGUGGAAAGUACAUAAAUACUUCUGAAGAAUGAUGAACACUCCAUUUAUAUUUAUAGGCAGUAGAAGAUUUCAUGAGCAAUGCUCUUGGAGAAAACUAUGAGCGACAGAUGCCUCUAAGACAAGCCGCCAUCCAUAUAUACGCACAUUCCGUAAUCUAGAACCGGUACCCUUCCUAUGAGCAGCAUGGUGGGCAGAAUAACAUUGGGGGUUUACGCGGGUCGUCUGUUACAAUUUGGAUAAAUCAUGAUACGAACGAAUAAAAAUUGAAGUAGUCAGACUGCAAGCUGGUUUAGAAAACUGUCUUAUAAGGUUAAAAACUUGUACAACAUGAAUACUUACGGACUCCGGUGCAGUGUGAGUCGCGCGAGGAUGAAAGUCGGCAGAAGCAGAUCACAAAGAAGAGGAUGGUAAGCAGCCGAAUCAGAUGGCGAGUGUUGGGUAACAUUAUUGUUUCUGAAUCGGGGUGACUUUGCGAGGGCAGAAGCCUAGCUAGUUAGCACCGAGAUGGAACCAACAAUUGGCCGGCAUACUGGACAACAACAAUUGAAGUUUAUAAGCUCAAGUGUG